rnacentral:rRNA from 1 species
GAUGAACGCUGGCGGCGUGCCUAAUACAUGCAAGUCGAGCGAACAGACGAGGAGCUUGCUCCUUUGACGUUAGCGGCGGACGGGUGAGUAACACGUAGGUAACCUACCUAUAAGACUGGGAUAACUUCGGGAAACCGGAGCUAAUACCGGAUAAUAUUUCGAACCGCAUGGUUCGAUAGUGAAAGAUGGCUUUGCUAUCACUUAUAGAUGGACCUGCGCCGUAUUAGCUAGUUGGUAAGGUAACGGCUUACCAAGGCAACGAUACGUAGCCGACCUGAGAGGGUGAUCGGCCACACUGGAACUGAGACACGGUCCAGACUCCUAUGGGAGGCAGCAGUAGGGAAUCUUCCGCAAUGGGCGAAAGCCUGACGGAGCAACGCCGCGUGAGUGAUGAAGGUCUUCGGAUCGUAAAACUCUGUUAUUAGGGAAGAACAAACGUGUAAGUAACUGUGCACGUCUUGACGGUACCUAAUCAGAAAGCCACGGCUAACUACGUG